rfam:Serratia sp. ATCC 39006 ctg3, whole genome shotgun sequence.
AUUCCCUUUCCGAAUUGGAUAGCUGAUAAUCUGCCCCCGGUUUGCUACUGGGAAUUCAGGAGAGUUCAUGUAC